UACGGAGGGGGCAAGCGUUGUUCGGAAUCAUUGGGCGUAAAGGGCGCGUAAGCGGCCGUCCAAGUCGGGUGUGAAAUCCCUCGGCUCAACCGAGGAACUGCACUCGAUACUGGUUGGCUAGAGUCCGGGAGGGGAUGGUGGAAUUCCCAGUGUAGCGGUGAAAUGCGUAGAUAUUGGGAAGAACACCGGUGGCGAAGGCGGCCAUCUGGACCGGAACUGACGCUGAGGCGCGAAAGCCAGGGGAGCGAAUGGG
rnacentral:rRNA from 1 species